UACGUAGGGUGCAAGCGUUAAUCGGAAUUACUGGGCGUAAAGCGUGCGCAGGCGGUUGUGCAAGACAGAUGUGAAAUCCCCGGGCUCAACCUGGGAAUUGCAUUUGUGACUGCACGGCUAGAGUGUGUCAGAGGGGGGUAGAAUUCCACGUGUAGCAGUGAAAUGCGUAGAGAUGUGGAGGAACACCGAUGGCGAAGGCAGCCUCCUGGGCUAGUACUGACGCUCAUGCACGAAAGCGUGGGGAGCAAACAGG
rnacentral:rRNA from 1 species